UUUGGGCUUAGCUUCGGCGGCCCGAUCUCUUCUUUCUUACGAUAUUCCUCCUCAUCGAUCUGGAUACGAUAAUUAUGAUCAUCCUGUAGUUAACCCUAAAGUAGGAUACGAACAUGACCGUCGUGAUGGAUACUACCAUGACCGUGACCAUCAUGAUGCACCUUAUGGUGGUGGUGCUGGUGGAGGAUAUGGAGCUGGAGCUGGAGCUGGCUCAUCUCUUGGAGGCUCUGGAUAUGGAAGUGGAGGAGGUGGUGGUUCUGGAUAUGGAGGUGUAGGAAACCACGAGGUUGGUUAUGGUAGUGGUGGAGGGGGUGGAUAUGGAGCUGGAGUUGGCUCUGACCUUGGUGGUAGCGGAUACGGAAGCGGUGGUGGUGGAGGCAGUGGAGGAGGAUACGGUGAUUUAGGAGGACGUGGAAAAGGGUACGGUAGCGGUGGAGGUGGAGGAAGUGGAUAUGGAGGUAGAGGAGACCAUGGAGUUGGUUAUGGAAGUGGUGGAGGUGGAGGAUAUGGAAGUGGAGUAGGUGGUGGUGCAGGAGUGGUAGACCAUGGUGUAGGUUAUGGGAGUGGAGGAGGAGGUGGGGCUGGUAGUGGUUAUGGUGGUUCCAAAGGAUAUGGAGGUGGAAGCGGCGGCGGUGGGGGAGCCGGUUAUGGUGGUGGAGCACAUGGAAGUGGAUAUGGAAGUGGUGGUGGAGCUGGAAGUGGUGAAGAAGGAGGAUAUGAUGGUGGAUAUGCACCGUAAACAAAGAAAAGAAAAGAAAAAGCUCAAAGUUUUAUGGCUAAAAUGAGAAUGCUUACCCUAAUAUCAUCAAUGUGUGUGUGUGUUAGCAAAAAAAAAAAAUAAAAGAAUUUGGGUAAGAAAUGUUAUAUUAAUUAUCUUUGAGCUUUUAAGUAAUUUGAAUGUAAUAUAAUAUAUAUAUAAAAAAAGCUAAUCCAUGUGUUCCAAAGUGAACCAACAUGAAGUAUAUUUUCUCCCUUUGUCAUCAUGAUCAUCUUAAACUUGUGGUUAUUAUGUGGGCUCUCAUUAUUAUUCCAAGAUAGCAACGUCGGGAUAUUCAAAUAUUUUUCAUAUGUAAUGUCUUAAGACUAAAUCACUAUGAUCUAUAUGCUUUAAUUAAGUUCAAAACUAUUUUGGAAGCAUUAUGAUUAAUAUAUUGAUUACUUAAAUACUAUUAUAUGGUUUUCAAGGUAACUUGAUGUUGUUAAUAAAAGAAAUCUUUAAUAUUUAAUCAGUCCUUUCUCUUAAAAUUUAGUAAAAAUAAAUACUAAAAUGGUAUGAUGUUUUAUGGUUGGAUUUGGGGUAUGUGUUUUGGCUUGUCCCUCUAGUUGUGACUUGUUCAAAAUAAGUGUACAAUCAAAUUCACUUGGGUUAUUAAAGACAAUUGAUAAACAAAAAUUGCCAAAACGAUAGAGCAUAACUAUUUAAUCGGUAUAAAACUUGUACAAUCCAUUAAUCAUAAUAUACUUUUUCUAAUUGAUCUCUAAUUGAUCGUACAUACUAGUUAGUGUCGAUAAAAAACUCAAUUUGACGUAUAAAUAUUUGUUUGUUGUAAAUGAACAUCUAAGUAUAUUCUUGAUUAAUUAUUCUUAUACUAAGAGUAACAUUGACCCCUCUAUUCUUUAGUAUUUGGUUAAAAGAAUAAAAAAUUAGUAAGUGAUGAAUCUUAGUGUGCUAUAGGUUGAUCAACCAAUUAAAAUUAGUCGUUUCAAGCAAUACUUUCGAAAAAAUUCAUUAAAUAGGAGUUAUUUAAACUAUCAACCCUGAGUUUUUAUACAUUACAAUAAAUUUAAUCUUUGAUGUCGGUCAAAAACUAAUAUAUAGGAGUACAAUAUAGAUCACCAGAUCGAUAUGGAAGACAAUGUUAUGGAAGAUGUUCAAUGUUAAUCACUUUUAUGUUCGUUUUGGUCUUGGCAUUAUAAAUAAUUUAAAUGGUAGUUUUUGCUCACACUACAAAUGUGUUAGACUAUUAGUCAUCAAAUAGUUUGAAUUCCUUGUAAAAAAAAUUAGUUGAAACAAAAAUAAAUAAUUAUCUUUGCAUUAAAAUAAAAUAAAAUAAAUAAAAUAGAUUUUUUUGUGAAUAUUUUGGUCAGGUGUUCUAUUUUUUAUAAUUUCCCAUAAAAAAUAUGUGUAAUAAGUUAUUUAAAAUACUAAUAGUAUUAAUUAGUUUACUUAAUAAAUCAAUUAUAUCUCUAAAUGAUAUUUUGGUAGAUUUAAAAAUAUUUUGAUUCAUUUUGCUAUAUUUGAAAAAGAAACCAUAAAAUUCUACUUCAUAUUCGCAAUAGAUCAUGGUAAACUUAGAUAGGCAUCUAUUAUUUAUAUAUAUGGUGAUAGAUACUUAUGUAUCUAUAUCCAAGCCCAUCAUCUAAAUAUUUUCAAAUGGUUUUCAAUUGAAAACAAAUUUCUCAAUAAGUAAUUAAAAAUUAGGUUUUUAUUCACUAAUAAUUAUUAUUUAAAUGUGAACAAAUAAAGUUUAGCUCGUAUAUAAUGGGUCAGUAGGUACACUCGGAUAUCUCCACUAGAUGGACACCCCUUAGCACCCUCAUUAUCUCCGUUUCAUUAAUAUAAAAAAUCGAAUUGAAUACACGAGAAGUAAAGAGAACAACCCAAACAAAAAACAAAGAACUAGAGACAAGCCCAAAACAAGUACAAACAAUUAGAAAGCAUGAAGAAAUUAGUGCUUUAAACCCCUAAACCGCAAUGUUACUUAACAAAUAAAAUUGUUAUUUAAAAGUUUGAAGUUAUUAUUGAGUUUUAUUUUAGCAAAUUAAUCAUCUCUUAAAUUAAAAAUCUCAAACAUACAUGGAAGAUAAGAUCAAUUAAGCACAUGUUGGAUGAAUUUUGUUCGAAUAAAAAUUAAAACAACUUAUUGUUAUCAACUUAUAAGUUAUAUAUAUGAUGAUGGUGGUGCAGAGGUGAAAACUUAGUUUGAGAUCUCUCCCUACAUCUACUAUGCUUUUACGUUCUAAUGUAUUUUGUGGUAAAAAAAUCAAUUAUAAACUUUUAAGAAAAAUUUUCAUAUGUUAUUAUUUUUUCUCUAAAUUCUAAACUAGCCAGGUUAUCAACAAAACAAAUACCACUAGAGUUUAAGGGAUUAGGAAGCAUAUAUGAAUAUCUCAACUUGGUUAACACGUCGUUUUUAAACAUUUCUCAUCAGGUUGCUGUUUCAAAAGUGAUGCACUGAUGUGAAGAAACAUAUAGGAGAAAAGUGAGAUGGAAAGUUAGUAUAUUGGACAGAGUACAUAGUACAUAGUAGGUUUAUUAAUUAAUUUAUCCAAAUGAUAAUCUCAUUACCAAGCACUAUGUGAUUUAGAUAUGAAUAAAAUGUGAUCAUUUUUCCACCACUAUUACAUAGCAAAUGGGAAAACAUCUCAUUGUGGUUUGAUAUUUUAAAAAACAAUUAUGGUAAUGCAAGUCGUCUCAUAUCCCAUAAUAUUAUCUCAGUCUCAUGGCGACUGAUACAAAAGGACAAAACUAACUUCAUUAAAAUAUGUUCUCUCCUUCCUACACUUUUUAGGUAUAUAUCAUUCAUAUAUUAAUCACUGCAAUUGGUUAGGUGGACUACAAAAACAUAGAUAUAGUCCGAGAUAAAAUUAAGUACGGUUAUAUUUUACGAGACUUUUGAUGUGUUUGAUUACAUUUUCAUGUGUUUCUUUUAGAAAAUAAGUUAUUUUGAAAAAACUAAAGUAUUUUAAACAAUUUUUAGAACAAUCAAUUUCUUGAAAAAUAUUUUUUUCUUAAUUCAAUCUAAGAUGGAUCCUCAAAAUAUUUGAGGGUAGUUCUUUUAUAAAAGUAUUUACACUAGGUUGGUUUAUGAAGUAAAAUAUUGAUCGGUAAAUUCAAGUUUUAAAUUAGAAAAAUUGAAUAUUUUUAAAAAUAGAAGAAUUGGCUAACUAUUUACAACUCAUACCAAAAUUUUAAUACAAAUCCAAAGUAUCUAUUUUUUAUUUUAUUAUUAUUAUUAUUUUUUGCUAUAGGAUGUAAAUACUAUCUGUUUUCUUGUAAAUUUCUCUUACAAUCCUCUACGAGAAAGUCUUAAUUUUUAUAUUUAUGAUUUAUAUUAUAAUAUAAUUAUUUGGAACCAUAUAAUAAAUAAAAGGAAAAUUGUAAAACAUAACAUUUGACAAAAUAUCUUCGUAGAAAAAUUUGUUGUGUAAUCAAUUUUGAGGUUUUGUUAUAUGGAGCGUAAAUAUUUUGUCAAAUUUUCUAUUUGUGAAAAAAAAAACUUAUAGGUAAUUUGAAAGGUAAGUGAUCUUGUUUAAGAUCCAAAUUUCUUUUAUGAAAGUUUAAUUUAGAAUACAUACGAGAAAAAUAGAUUAAUCUAGAAUGAUAAAUGUAAGAUAGGUUUGGGAAGUACCAAUAAAUUUUAGGCAUGUGAUAGACUAUAACUGUGAAGAUAUAUAGUCUAUUGCUAUCUUGAAUGGCUCAUUCUUGUUUGAAAAUGACCUUAUUUAAAACACAACUUUUUUAUAAAAGAAAAUCCCUUGCAUCAUUCAAACAAUCUUACAAGAUCGUAUUAGUGGAAGAUGAGAUAGAAUUCUGACAUGUGUAUUAUUAGUAUACUUGAAUAGUUUCUUAUCUAACUUUUGAGCAAGUAGUGGAGAAGCUGAUCAUGAACCCUAAACCCACCGUAUCAUUCACUAUAUAAAGGAGAUCACUACAUGCAUUCUAAGGCAUCCCUUCUCCAAAUGGCUAUCUUUAGAACUUUCUCUUUCGGUUUUCUUUUGUUGGUGAGUUUAGGCUUAGCUUCUGCGACCAGAAGUCUUCUCACCUAUGAUCCACCACAUCACUCUGUAUAUGAUGAUCAUAACACUAAAGUAGGUUACGGACGUGACCAUCAUGAUCAACCUUAUGGUGGUGGUGUUGGUGCUAGUGGAGGAUAUGGAGCCGGAGCUGGCUCUGGAUAUGGAGGUGUAGGAUACGAACAUGACCAUCAUGAUGGAUACGAACGUGAUCAUGAUCGAUCUUAUGGUGGUAGUGCUGGUGGAGGAUAUGGAGUUGGAGCUGGCUCCUCUCUUGGAGGCUCUGGAUAUGGAAACGUAGAUCAUGGGGUUGGUUAUAGCAAUGGUGGAAGUGGUGGAUAUGGAGCUGGUGUUGGCUCUGACCUUGGUGGUAGCGGAUAUGGAAGCGGUAAUGGCGGAGCAAGUGGAAGUGGAAAUGGUGAUUUAGGAGGACGUGGAAAAGGCUACGGUCGCGGUGGUGUUGGAGGAAAUGGAUAUGGAGGUAGAGGAGACCAUGGCCGAGUAGUAGGCCAUGAUGAUGUAGUUUAUGGUGGUUCCAAAGGAUAUGGAGGUGGAAGUGGCGUCGGUGGGGGAGCUGGUUAUAGCGGUGGAGCAAGUGGAAGUGGAUAUGGAAGUGGUGGUGGAGCUGGAAGUGGAAGUGGCUAUGGCGGAAGUGGUGAAGAAGGAGGAUAUGAUGGUGGAUAUGCACCUUAAAUAAAAGGGGCUAAAACAUCAUCUAAAAGCUUAUCGUUAAAACGAUAAUACUUACCUAAAUAUCAAUGUUUGUUAGCAAAAAUAAAGAAUUUAGGUAAGAAUGUUAUGUUCCUCUUUUGAAUUUUAGUAACUUCAAUGAAUGUGAUAUUAUAAAAACUAGCUGUUUCAUGGGGUUCUAAAGACCAACAAACAUGCAUGAAAUACUGAGUUAAUACAACGUACGCCAUUCCAAACGUGCUAUUUUAUGGAUUCCAAAGUUGACUUUGAACUAAGGACUAAAUAAUCCUUUAACACCUUCUAAACACAAAUUAUUUCACAGACGUCAAGAUCAGUUAAUCAAGUUAAAACUUAAUAGGUCAAAUUCAUCAUUCCAAAAUGACUUGUAGAAAAAUUUUGAGACUUAGUUCGAGUAUGUUAAAUUCUAAUGUUACGAAGUUUUCUUAACAAAAUUGAGAAGGAGGUUGGGAUGGUGGAUAUGCACUCAAAAAUUUCAUCUCAAAAGAGAAUUGAGAAACAUACUUUUCAAGUAACAAACCCAAUAUUCAUAUUAAUUGGGCAACAAAAGUAAGGAAAUAGGGGUAAAAAGAGAACAUUGUUUUCUAAAUAAUCUAUGUCGAGGUUUGCUUCUUGGCCAUGAAAUUCGAACCAAUUAUUCAAUGAUAAGCAAAUUUGGAUUAAGUAUGCAUGUGUAAUGUGACAAAAUUAUUCAACCACAUUCACGUUAUUUUGCUUUCCUAAUCAUAUUUAUGAAAUAAGAUGGUUUCAUCUUUCAAAAUCAAUACACAAUUACAAAAGUAGUAAUACUUCUAUCUUAUAAACAAUGUUGAUCUCUUGAAUUUUCCAUGUAUGGAAUUAUCAACAUUCUCCGCAUAUUGUUCUAGGUUAUUUUUUUAACCAGUGUAAUCAACCUCAAACAAAAACAAAAGUGACAAAACCAAGAAAAUAACAAAAUUUUCACUUAAAUAAAAGAGGGAAAAAAAAUAGCACAUCCUAUAAGCCAAAAUAAGGGCGAGGGGUUUAGGGUUUAGGGUUAUUAGACCAAGACUACCAAAAUGUCUAAUGACUUUUAUAACGAAACAUCUAGUUUAGAUUGAUACAUAUGAUAUGUAGCAUCUUCACAGCAUCCAAGAUCAAGAGUCGAUAUAUUAUCAUGAAAAGAAAGUACAAAAGGGAAGUUAGGGAAAAACUUGGAGUCAACGUUAAGAGAACCAUUAAAAGUUUUAGAAGUUCAAUUAAUAUUUGUAAAAUUUUAAGAGCUAAAUUUUUAUAAUCCAACGUUUGAGGUCUAGUAAUUGCAAUUGACCAUCAUACUUCAGGGAUAAUUUUUGAAAAUUUCCUUUUCUAUUAUUAAAUUAUCAAGAAAAAAAAGUUUAAUGACGGUCAAAAUAAUCCCUGGCGUCCAUAUAAUAAUUUUCAAUAACAUUUCACGACACUAAAAAAAAUUGGAACUUUGCUCACAUUUUUCUAAGAAACGUAAAUAUUUUGUCAACUUUACUAUAUAUAUAUUAUUGUUACUCUUUUAAAAACUUAAGUAAUUUUGAUUCGACCAAUUUUUUUUGCUAUCAACUACAAUUGUUAAAAAAUAUAUAUAUACGAAAAAAAAUGGUUAAUUUUCAUUCACAAAAUAUUUAAAAAAGUAAAAUUUUAAAUUUGUCUCGUAUCUUUUGGAAUAAGGUUUGUCUUUAAUUAAGGAAAUUUAAAAGUUGCUAAAACAUAGCUAAAUUAAACAAAAGUUACUUUUUUAAAGAAAAUUUUUUAAAUAACAAAAUUAUUAAAAAUAUAAUUAAAUUAGAAUUUUUGAAUCUAUUAUUGAUAUAAUUAAGAAAAGUCUAUCAACAUAUAUCAAUUCUAAUAUUUUAUUAUAUUUUAAUUCAUUUGGUUAUAUUUAACAACUCAUUCCCACACAAACUAUAAUUCAAAUUAAAAACAUAUUUGAACAAAUAUUUUGUAUAAUUUAAGUGAUGAAUCGCACUAAUAUUGUUAAAAUGUGUUUAAAAUGUGAUACUUUUCCCACCAUAUUUUAUAGCAAAUGGCAGAUAAUUUAAUGUUUCUUUGAAGCAAGAAUUAGGCAAAGAAGCAUAUAUAUAUAUAUAUAUAUAUAUAUAUAUAUAUAUAUAAUAUAUAUAUAAUAUGUAAUUAAAUUUUAUAUUAUAGUUAUGCAAAAUCGUUUCAUAAGCCACUUCAUCUCUCUCUAUUUCAUGGCAUCAAGUAAACAAAAAGGGAAAAAGGGAAAAAGAGACCUAAUAAAAUAUGUGUUCUUUAAUUGGUGGAUUUUUAAUUAGCAUUAUUAAUUAAUCAAUCAUGUAAAUAUCCUACAAAGAAUAUUUGUUCUUAAGAUAAUUCAUUGCAUGAUGAAUCAAAAUUUUAGGUUGGGUGUUCCUGUAUACUUAAAAACAUUAUUGCAUUACCAAAUUAAAUUUAUACAAACCAAACGAUAUCAUUUUGUUCGUAUUAAGUUCGUUUAAGUUUAGAUGGUAUAUGAAAGUUGGUUUGUUAUGUUUAGGUUUAUUAAACAACAUUGUAUUUAGACGAUAGUGUAAACUUUAAGUUGUUAAACAUGUGUUUUAUCUUAGUCUAAUGUCGUCUAAUACAAAUAUAUUAUGAUACUUUUUAAUAUUUAAAAAUAUUUUUAGAAGUUUUAUAAAUUAAAAUAAUUUUUCUAAAAAUUAAGUUUCAUCAUUUUUAAGAGGAGAAAAGACACCCUAAACAUAAAUUAAAGAAAAUAGAAUGAUAUUGUAUUAAUUACAUAAAUUUAAUCAAAAAUUAAGAACUAAAAAUAAAAUUGUUAUCAAAAUGAAAAUUCAUUUUAACAUUCAAACCAUCCAAAAAAAAGAACAUCUAAUUACUCUAUUGUAACAGAAGUUUUAUCCUCUUAAGAAAAAAAUAGUUUAAUGUUAAAAGAGUAUACAAAACGUGUUAAUAAGUACACAACUCAAUUAGCAUAAAGCUUAAAUUUUAUUUAGAUCAAGACUCAAAUCUAUGAGAUCACAGGAUAUUGCAAAUUUAGGAUUUUAGGUUAUCGUUUAAAGUUCUAAAAUAUUGCAAAAUGGUGCAAGUGGGAAGAUGGGAUCCAAAUCAAGUAUGGAUAUGAUUUAGUUCCAAUUAUAAUUUAAGGUUAUAGUUUAAUGAUUUAGUUACAACACUUUAGUGUUUUGCCUCUUGAACUUCCCUUAAGCUAUAAUCCAUAAUUAAUAAUGUUUUUGAGCACGUGCCUUCUCUUUAAUUGCCACUAAGGUACCACACUAUAGAGAAGAGCUAAUGAAUCCUUGUUUUCUAUAUAAGGAGAUGGAUCAAUGCAUUCUAAGCAUAUACUCCUAUCCAUGGCUAUUUCUAGAGUGUUGUGCAUUGGCUUUCUUCUUUUUGUGGGGUUAGGGUUAGCUUCGGCUGCCCGAACUCUUCUUGAUUAUGAUCCACGUGCACGUCGUUAUGAUUACGAUCGUCCUACUCCAAGAGUAGGAUACGAUCCAAGCCAUCGUGAUCAAUCCUAUGAUAAUGUAUAUGGUGGAAGCUCUAGCAGAGGAUAUGGAGCUGGAGACUCUGCUCUUGGAGGUUCGGGACGAUAUGAAGGUGGUGGAGGACGUGAUUACGGACAUGGAGGCCGAAAUGAUGAUCGUGGUGUUGGAUAUGGAGGUCGAAAUGAUGAUCGUGGUGCUGAAUAUGGAGGUAGAAAUGAUGAUCAUGGUGCUGGAUAUGGAAGUCGAAAUGAUGAUCGUGGUGUUGGAUAUGGAAGUCGAAAUGAUGAUCGUGGUGUUGGAUAUGGAAGUCGAAAUGAUGAUCGUAGUGUUGGAUAUGGAGGCCGAAAUGAUGAUCGUGGAGUUGGAUAUGGUAAUGGUGGUGGAUAUGGAGGUGUAGGAGGACAUGGUGAUGGUUAUGGUAACAAUGGUGGUGGAAGCUAUGGAGAUCGUUAUGGCCCUUCUCUUGGAGGUUCAGGAUAUGGAAGUGGAGGAAAAGGAAGUGGCAAUGGCUAUGACGAUCAUUCUCGUGGAAAUGGUGCGCGUGACAAUAGCUAUGGAGAUUCUCAUGGACAUGAAGGACGUGACAGUGGAUAUGGAAGUGGUGGAGGAGUUAGUGGAGGCUAUGGCAAUGGAGGAGUUCAUGGAGGGGAGCAUGAUAAUAGCAAAGGAAGUGGAGAAGAAGGGGGUAGGGACGGUGGAUAUGCUUUCAAAAAUUCCAUCUCAAAGGAGAAUUGAGAACUCUUUUUCAAGUAAUGAACCCAAUAUCAUAUUAUGUUAACAAAAAAAAUAAAGAAUUGGGUAUAAGAGAAUGUUGUUUUCUAAAUUUAUGUUGAAUUUGUUACCAACGAAUGUCAAAUUCGAAUCAAUGGGUACAAUGAUAAUCAAAUUUAGGUUAUGUUUAUUGUGAUAAAUUUAUUGCACUCUUAUUUGUUUUGUUUCUCUAUAUAUAUUUUUUCUAUAUAUCCAUAUUAAUAUGGGUGGUUUUGGACCGAAGAAAAAAACAUCAUCUAAAAGUUUUUCGUUAAAAUCAUAUAAUUCUUACCUAAUAUCAAUGUUUGUUAGCAAAAAGUAAAAGAAUUUAGGUAAGAAUGUUAUGUUUCUCUUUGAAUUUUAGUAACUUUUUCAAUGAAGUUGUGAUAUUAUAAAAUCUAGUCAUUUCAUGAAGUUCUAAAGGCAAACAAGCAUGCACCAAAUACUCUAGCUAAUACAACGUACGCCAUUCCAAACGUGCUAUUUUAUGGAUUUCAAAGUUAAACUUUGAAACAAUCUUUUAAUACGUUCUAAACACAAAUUAUUUAACAUAAAUCAUGGGCUAAUCAAGUCCAAACUUAAUAGAUCAAACUCAUCAUUCCAAAUGUCUCCUACAUAACUUGUAGAAAAUUUUAAGAUUUAGUUCGAAUAUAUUAAAUUCGAUGUUCCAAGUUGUUUUAACAAAAUUGAAAAACUUCACCAUUAUUUUGAGAUUUUUUUUUAUGAUUACAUCCUUUAAUUUAUUGAAUAAUUAUAAACAAUCUUGGUUUCAAGAGAAUUAUAUUUACGCAACGAUCAUUUGCAGAUGUUCAAAAUAUUUCUACCCUCAAUUAUACUUACAGAAAAACAUUUGUUGCACUUAUCUCUUCCAAACCAUAAUAGUUUUUAGGAAAAGAAAAAAGAGACAUGUUUAUGAAAGAAAAUUAGGCUACGAUGCUCAUUGUCGUGGAUAUGGAGCGCGUGACAACGGGUAUGGGAGGUGGAGGAGUUAGGGGUGGCUAUGGUGGUGGUAGCAAAUUGAAGAGAUGGUUAUGGUAAAUAGAGAGGUGUUCAUGGAGGAGAAUAUGAUAAUGGCAAAGGAAAUGGAGAAGAAGGAGGUUGUGAGGGUGGAUAUGCACUCAAAAUUAAUUCCAUCUGAUCAAAAGAGAAUUGAGAAACUUUUUUUUUUUUUUUGUAAGUAAUGAACCCAAUAUUCAUAUUAAUUGCACAACAAAAAAUAAAGAAAUUGGGUAAGAGAGAACGUUGUUUUCUAAAUCUUAUGGGUGGAAGGUUUGCAUGUUCGUGAAUGUAAAUAUCAAAUCAAUUUUUUAAUGAUAAGCAAAUUUGGAGUAAGUGUGCAUUUAUACUGUGACAAAUUGAAUCAACCACAUAUACGUUAUUUUGUUUUUCCAAUGAUAUUUAUUAUAUAAGAGGAUUUUAUCUCAAAAUCAAUCAACAAAUACGUGAAUAGUAAUACGUCAAUUUUAUAAACAAUAAUGAUGAUCUCUUGAAUUUUUCAUGUGAAAUUAUCAACAUUCUCCAUGUAUUGUUCUCGGUUAUUAUUUUUGUAACCAAAGUGUAAUCCUCCAAAAAAAUACAAAAUUGACAACCAAGAAAAUAACUAAAUUUUCAUUUAAAAAGAAAAAAGAGAAUAGCAUAUCAAAUAUCAAAUAGCCAUGCAAAAUAAGCUUAACUAGGGGAGAGGGAGUCUAUAAGUCAAAUUGCAUAGUCUAAACCAAGGCUAACAAAUGAAUGAUGAUCCUACGAUAAAAUAUCUUAAGUAGAUUGAUACAUAUGAUAUGUAGCAUCUUCACCGCAUCUAAGAACAAGAGUCGAUGUGUUAUCACAAAAAUAAAAUACAAAAGGGAAGUUUGGGAGAAAAUUAGAGUUAUAAUAAUGUUGAGAGAGAUCCAAUUAAUUAAUACUCUUAAAAUUUUAAGAGAUAAAUUUUUAUAUUUGAGAAUUUAAAUGUGUAAUUGCGACUAAUUAACCAAUCGUGUUGAUUUUUGCAAUUUACCUUUUUUUAUUAAAUUUUCAAGAAAAAAAUAUUUAAUGACGAUCAAAAUGAUCCAUGACGUACAUACAAUUAUUGUCAAACAUUCCAUGUUACUAAAAGAAAAUUGAAACUUUCUCCAACGUUAUAAAUAUUUUAUCCACUUUACUAUUUUUUUUAUUAUUUCCCUAAUUUUGAUUCAAUCAAUUUUCUAGCUAUCAACUACCAUUCUUUAAAAAAAAAUCAAAUAUACAAAAAUAAAAAAUUGUCAAUUUUCGUCCAAAAAAAUUUUAAAAUAAAAUUUGGAAUUUGGAAUAUGGUACCUUUUGGAAUAAGUUUUAAAGCCUUUGAUUAAAAAAAAAAAGUUGCUUCAACCAAAAUCAUUGUAAAUAAUGUUGAAAUUAUAAAAUUAUUAAAAAUAUUUAUAAAUAUAGACAAACUAAAAUUUUAGAAUCUACCGUUGAUGUAACUAAUAAACGUAUAUCAGCGUCUACCGAAUAUAUUCUAAAAAACGGUAAUAUUUUAUAAAUAUUUUAGUAUGUUUACCCUUUCACAAACUUAAUUAAAAUUAUAAUCCAAAUCAAAACCUAUCCAAACAAAUAUUUGGUGUAACUUAAGGGAUGAAUCGCACUAAUAUGACUCAAACAUAUUUUGAGAAACGUGUUUAAAAUGUGAUAAAUUUUUCCACAAUAUUUUAUAGCAAAUGGCAAAUAAUUUAAAGUUUCUUUGAAGCAAGAAUUAGGCAAAGAAGCAUGUAUAUAUAUACAUAUAAUGUAAUUAAAAUUUAUAUUAUAGUGAUGCAAAAUCGUUUCAUAAGCCACUUCAUCUCUCUCUGUUUCAUGGCAUCUUAAGUACACAAAAAGAGAAAAAGGGAAAAAGAGACCUAAUAUAAUAUGUGUUCUUUAAUUGGUGGAUUUUUAUUUAGCAUUAUUAAUUCAUCAAUCACCAAGAAUAUUUAUUCUCAACAAAGUUAUUGAAUGAUAUUAAAUUUACAAGAACUAAAUGAUAUAUCAUUUCGUUUCAUAUUAAAUUUUUGUAAGUUUAGAUAAUUUAUGAAAGUAGGUUUGUUAUGUUUAGGUUAACUAAACACAUACAUGUUAAAUUGAAUAUGUGUUUUAUCUUGGUCAAUUGUGCAAAGUGGAUCCGUGGCGCAAUGGUAGCGCGUCUGACUCCAGAUCAGAAGGUUGCGUGUUCGAUUCACGUCGGGUUCAAUGUCCAUUUUUUAUUUUAGUCAUUUGUGAUCACAAAUAAAUUUAAACCUCAUAAUCAUUGCAUUUUAGGUUAUUGUGUAAAGUUAUAAAACAUUACAAAGUGGAACAAGUAUUGAUAUGAUUUCGUUCCAAUUAUAAUUUAUUUUUAUAGUUUAAUGAGACAUACGAAAAAGCCAACACUUUAGUAUUUUGCCUCUUGAACUUUACUUAAGUUAUAUAUAAAAAAUUAAUAAUGUUGUUGACCACAUGCCUCCUCUUUAAUUGCCACUAAGGUACUACACUAUAGAGAAGAGCUAAUGAGUCCUUGUUUUCUAUAUAAGGAGAUGGAUGAAUGCAUUCUAAGCAUACAUUCCUAUCCAUGGCUAUCUCUAGAGUGUUGUGCAUUGGCUUUCUUCUUUUUGUAGGUUUAGGGUUAGCUUCGGCUACCCGAACUCUUCUUGAUUAUGAUCCACGUGCACGUCGUUAUGAUUACGAUCAUCCUACUCCAAGAGUAGGGUACGAUCCAAGUCAUCGUGAUCAAUCAUAUGAUAAUGCAUACAGUGGAAGUUCUAGUAAAGGAUAUGGAAUUGGAGACUCUACUCUUGGAGGUUCUGGACGAUAUGGAGGUGGCAAAGGACAUGAUUCCGGAUAUGGAGGUCGAAAUGAUGAUCGCAGUACUGGAUAUGGAGGUCGAAAUGAUGACCGCAGUGAUGGAUAUGGAGGUCGAAAUGAUGACCGCGGUGCUGGAUACGGAGGUCGAAAUGAUGAUCGCGGUGUUGGAUAUGGAGGUCGAAAUGAUGAUCGCGGUGUUGGAUAUGGAGGUCGAAAUGAUGAUCGUGGAGUUGGAUAUGGUAAUGGUGGUAGAUAUGGAAGUGUAGGAGGACAUGGUGAUGGUUAUGGUAACAAUGGUGGUGGAAGCUAUGGAGAUCGUUAUGGCCCUUCUCUUGGAGGUUCAGGAAAAGGAAGUAACAAUGGCUAUAACGAUCAUUCUCGUGGAAAUGGAGGACGUGACAGUGGCUAUGGAGAUUCACAUGGACAUGAAGGACGUGAGAGUGGAAAUGGAAGCGGUGGAGGAGUUAGUGGUGGCUAUGGUAAUGGAGGAGUACAUGGAGGAGAGUAUGAUAAUAGCAAAGGAAGUGGAGAAGAAGGGGGUAAUGAUGGUGGAUAUGCUGUCAAAAAUUCUAUCUCAAAGGAGAAUUGAGAAUUCCUCUUUUUCAAGUAAUGAACCCAAUAUCAUAUUAUGUUAACGAGAAAUAAAGAAAUUGGGUGAGAGAAUGUUGUGUUUUAAAUUUAUGUUGAAUUUUCUUUGAAUAAUUCGAAUCAAUAGGUACAAUGAUAAUCAAAUUUGGAUUAUGUUUGUUGUGACAAAUUGACUGUACCCUAUUUUGUUAUAUUUCUCUAUAGAUUUUUUUAUAUAUAUCCAUAUUAAUACGGGUGAUUUUGAACUGAAUCAAAUGACAUAAACAAAGAGAAAAAAAUAUUGUCUAAAAGUUUAUUUGUUAACACCUUAUAAUUCUUAGUAACUUUUUCAAUGAAUGUGUGAUAUUAUAAAAAUAAGUUGUUUCAUGGGAUUCCAAGGAUGGACAAAAGAUGCAUAAAAUACUCUAACUAAUAAAAUGUACACCAUUCCAAACGUGCUAUAUUUUAUGAUUUUCAAAGUUAAACUUUGAAACAAUCUUUUAACACCUUCUAAACACAAAUUAUUUAUCAUACAUGGUGGGCUAAUCAAGUCCAAACUAAUUAAUAGGUCAAACCCAUCAUUCCAAUUGUCUGCUACACGUAACUUAUAAAAAUUUUCAAGAUUUAGUUUGAAUAUUUUAAAUUCAAUGUUUCAAGUUUUUUUAACAAAAUUGAAAAAACUUCACCAUUUUCUUGAGAUUUUCUUAUUAUGAUUACAUCCUUUAAUUUGUUGAAUAAUUAUGUACGAUCUUGUUGCAAGAGAAUAAUAUAUAUAUAUUAUUAUAUUAUAUAUAUACAUACAUUCAUUCAUUUAGGUUUAUGUGGUUCAAAAUCUUUCUACCCUCAAUUAUACUUAAAAAGCAUUGGUUGCACUCUUCUCUUCCAAACCAUGAUAGUUUUUAGGAAAAAAAAGAAACAUGUUGAUGAAAGAGAAUUAGACUACGAUGAUCAUUCUCGUGGAUAUGAAGCGCGUGACAACGGAUAUGGGAGUGGUGGAGGAGUUGGUGGUGGCAGCGAAAAAGGUGGUUAUGGUAAUAGAGAGGUGUUCAUAAAGGAGAAUAUGAUAAUCGGAAAGGAAAUGGGGAAGAAGGAGGUUCUAAUGGUAGAUAUGCACUCAAAAUUAAUUUCAUCUAAUCAAAAGAGAAUUGGAAACUUUUUUUUAAGCAAUGAACCCAAUAUUCAUAUUAAUUGGGCAACAAAAAUAAAGAAAUUGGGUAAGAGACAACGUUGUUUUAUAAAUCUUAUAUGUCAUUAGUUUACUUUUUGGUGAAAGUAAAUAAUUUGGAUUAAGUAUGCAUUUGUAUUAGAACAAAUUGAAUCCAACCAUAUACACAUUAUUUUACUUUUUUAAUAAUAUUUUUUAUUAAAUUAGAUGGUUUUAUUUUAAAAUUAAUUGAUAAUUACGUGAAUAGUAAUAUGUAUAUCUUAUAAACAAUAAUGUUGAUCUCUUCAAUUUUUUAUAUGCAGAAUUAUCAACAUUCUCCACCUAAUGUUCUAGGUUAUUUUUGUAAUCAAAGUGUAACUCUCAGACAAAAACAAAAACGAAAAAACCAAGAAAAUAACUAAAUUUUCAUUUAAAAAGAGAAAAAAGAAUAGCAUAUCAAACAUCCAUCCAAAAUAAGCAUAAUUAAGGGAGAGGGGGCCUAUACGUCAAUUGCUUAGUCUAAACCAAGACUAACAAAUGCCUUGUCCUAUGAUAAAAUAUUUAUAUUUCAAAGAUACAUAUAUUUUCACUACAUCCAAGAUCAAGAGCCAUUGUAUUAUAACAAAAGAUUGUACAAAAGGGGAGUUGGGGAGAAACUUAGAGUCAUAAUGUUCAAAGAGAUCUAAUUAAUACUUGUAAAAUUUUAAGAGCUAAAAUUUUGUAACAGAGAUUGAGAGUGUAAUCGCAACAAAUAAUCAUACUUCAAUGGUUGAUUAAUUUAUCAAGAAAAGUUUUAAAAAAACAUUUAAUGACAGUCAACAUCAACCCUUUCACGUCAUUAAAAGAAAAUUGGAACUUUGCCCACAUUUCUUUAUUAUUUUGCUAUUAAAAAUUAAUUUUGAUUCAAUCAAUUUUUUAGUUAUCAACUACUAUUCUUAAAAAAAUAUAUAUAUAUACAAAAAUUACGAAAAAGAAAUAUUACUUCUCAAACAAGAAUCAUCUUAAAUAAUCAUCCUAUCCAUUUUAAAAAAUAUAUAUAUUUUCAAUAAAUUAAAUAAUAAAAUUAUUGAAAAUAUUUAUAAAUAUAACUAAAAUAAAACUCUAAAAUCGAUGGAGGAUGUAACUUAUGAAAGUCUAUUAGCAUCUAUCAUUAACAUAUUCUAAAAUAUUUUUGUAAAUAUAUUUUGUUUCAUUUUGCUAUACUUAAAAAUAACCUUCCACAAAUUUAAAACUCAAAUUAAUCAAAACCAAUCCCAACAAAUAUUUUGUAUAAUUUAUGCGAUGUGCAUAAAUACGCAUUUUCCCACCAUAUUUGAUAGCAAAUGGCAAAUUAUUUAAUGUUUGUUUGAAGCAAGAAUUAGGCAAAGAAGCAUAUAUCUAUAUAAUAUGUAACUAGAUCUUAUAUUAUAGUGAUGCAAAAUCGUUUCAUAAGGCACUUCAUAUCUCUCUGUCUCAUGGCAUCUUAAGUACACAAAAUGAGAAAAAGGGAAAAAGGGCCCUAAUAUAAUAUGUGUCCUUUAAUUGGUGGAAUUUUAUUUAGCAUUAUUAAUUAAUCAACCGUGUAAAAUAUGGUAGGAAGAAUUAUUCUAAUGAUGAAUGAAAAUUUUAGGUUGGGAGGUCCCAUAUAUGAAGCAUAUGAGAAAUUUUCAAUCUUAAAAGAGUGAAUUAUCAAAUUAAAUUUACAUGAACGAAAUGAUAUAUCAUUUGGUUUGUAUUAAGUUUGUUUAAGUUUAGAUGAUUUACGAAAAUAGGUUUGUUAUGUUUAGGUUGACAAAACGACACUGUAUUUAGAUGAUGGUGUAAAUUUUAACAUGUUAAACAUGUGUUUUAUCUUGGUUUAUUGUGAUCUAAUACAAAUAAAUAUCGUUAUUGAAUUUUAGGUUAUCGUGUAAAGUUGUAAAAUAUUACAAAGUGGUGCAAGUGGGAAAAUGGGAUCAAAAGGAGAGUAUUGAUAUGAUUUCGUUCCAAUUAUAACUUAUUUUUUUAGUUUAAUGAGACAUAGGAAAAAGCCUACACUUUAGUGUUUUGCCUCUUGAACUUCCUUUGAGCUAUAUAUCCAAAAUUAAUAAUGAUUUUUUAGCACGUGUCUCCUCUUUAAUGGCCUCUAAGGUACCACACUAUAGAGAAGAGCUAAUGAAUCCUUGUUUUCUAUAUAAGGAGAUGGAUCCAUGCAUUCUAAGCAUACAUUCCUAUCCAUGGCUAUUCCUAAAGUGUUGUGCAUUGGCUUUCUUCUUUUUGUGGGUUUAGGGUUAGCUUCGGCUGCCCGAACUCUUCUUGAUUAUGAUCCACGUACACGUCGCUAUGAUUACGAUCAUCCUACUCCAAGAGUAGGGUACGACCCAAGUCAUCGUGAUCAAUCCUAUGAUAGUGCAUACAGUGGAAGUUCUAGUAAAGGAUAUGGAGUUGGAGACUCUGCUCUUGGAGGUUCUGGACGAUAUGAAGGUGGUGGAGGACGUGAUUCCGGAUAUGGAGGUCGAAAUGAUGAUCAUGGUGUGGGAUAUGAAGGUCGAAAUGAUGGUCGUGGUGCUGGAUACGGAAGUCGAAAUGAUGAUCGCAGUGCUGGAUAUGGAGGUCGAAAUGAUGAUCGUGGUGCUGGAUAUGGAGGUCGAAAUGAUGAUCGUGGUGCUGGAUAUGGAGGUCGAAAUGAUGAUCACGGUGCUGGAUAUGGAAGUCGAAAUGAUGAUCAUGGUGCUGGAUAUGGAGGUCGAAAUGAUGAUCGUGGGGUUGGAUAUGGUAAUGGUGGUGGAUAUGGAAGUGUAGGAGGACAUGGUGAUGGUUAUGGUAACAAUGGUGGUGGAAGCUAUGGAGAUCGUUAUGGCCCUUCUCUUGGAGGUUCGGGAUAUGGAAGUGGAGGAAAAGGAAGUGGCAAUGGCUAUGAUGAUCAUUCUCGUGGAAAUGGAGCACGUGACAAUAACUAUGGAGAUUCUCACGGACAUGAAGGACGUGACAGUGGAUAUGGAAGUGGUGGAGGAGUUAGCGGAGGCUAUGGCAAUGGAGGAGUUCAUGGAGGGGAGCAUGAUAAUAGCAAAGGAAGUGGAGAAGAAGGGGGUAGUGAUGGUGGAUAUGCUUUCAAAAAUUCCAUCUCAAACAAGAAUUGAGAACUCUCUUUUAAGCAAUGAACCCAAUAUCAUAUUAUGUUAAAGAAAAAUAAGGAAAUUGGGUAAGAAUGAAUAAUGUUGUGUUCUAAAUGUAUGUUGAAUUUACUUCAAAUGAAUGCUAAAUUUGAAUCAAUGAAUUAUGUUUGGAUUAUGUUUGUUGUUACAAAUUGAUUCCACCUUUCUUUUUGUUUUGUUUCUCUAUACAUUUUUCUAUAUAUCCAUAUUAAUAUGGAUUGAUUUUGGACCGAAUCGAAUGACAUAAUAAUCUAUGCCAAAUAAGAGUAAAACCACAUAGCCAAGAAAAUGAUAAGAGUAAAAGGAAAAAUAGUAUGUACAAUGUAAGACAAAUAAUUGUGUCUAGGAGAAGAGGGUGUUACUCAAGCCAAUGCAUUUAACCUCGACAAGACUCAACCUCAAGUUGAGCCUAACAAAAUGUCUAGUUGGGCAUACCCUUGUCAAAAUGCAUCACUUUAAUUAAGACUAAAAUAAACAUAUAGAGAAGGGAGUUUGAGCUUGAUAGGUCGAGACCAAUCCUAGCAGAAUAUUAAACAGAACUUGCCCUUCACAUGCCUCAACCUAAGUGAGUUGAAAAGGUUAUCGUAUCGUACCUCCAAAACUCUAUUCGGACAUAACCUAACUAAUUAACUAGGUUUAUUUAAUUCUACAAAUAAAUCAUUAGAGCUCUACAGAAACAAACUCUAUUCUCACUCAAUUUCUUUGACAUUUUUCAACUCUCUCUAAAAGCCAAAUAGGCACAACCCUAAAUCCUUACAUCUUCAAACCCUGUGUUUUAAUUACUAUGGAUAAAAGAGAACACAAAUCAAAUUUUACUUUCUUAUAUUUAGAUCAUAUUUCUUUUGAAAUUCAAAGUAAUGGAUAACACAAUAUGCUUCCAUUUCUAAUUUAAAUGAAAAUUUCAACAUUCCUAAUUACUGAUUUAUUUACACAAAAUAGCCCAAAGUAAAUAACUAUAAGUGAGUUUUCUUUACUAUUAUUUUGGUGAGUGAAGAUACUAUGAGUUUUUAUAUCACUAAAAUGUGAUAAUUUUUCCAACCAUUAUUGUAUUAGCAAAUGGGAAAUAAAUUAUUUAAUAAUGUAUCUAUAAAGUGGGAAGAAUUAGGGAAACAAAAUGCAUAAUUAAAUAUGUAAAAAAACUAUAGUAAUGCUAUGUCGUUUCAGAAACCAUUUGAAGAGUUAAGGAAAAAAGAGGGGAAAAAAAGCUCUAAUAUAAUAUAUGCUCUUUAGUCCUUUUUCUUAAAAAAAAAUUAAUGCUCUUUAAUUAGUUUGAAAUAGCCAUAUAAAUUAAAUAUCUUCCUAAAAGGAAAGAUGGGUUCUCAAGAAAAAAUAUAUUUCAAUGCUUCUUUUUCUUUUUCUUUUUCUUAAUCCUUGUUGAUGAAGAGAAUUCAGGCUUAAAAAUGGAGAAUUUCAUAUUUUCUAAUAUUUUACACUUUUUUCAACCUCAUAAACAAAUUUUGAUUAAAUGGUUGUAGUAAAGAUACUUUUCUUUUUUUUUCACCAAAAACAGCUUUAUUUUAUUUUAAUCUUCUGUCAUAUUUGUAUCGAGAAAAUUAAAUAAAUACUAUUUUUUUUCAAUAUAUUUAAUUUCGUUUUAAAAUAAAGGGAAAAUCCCUAGAAAUCAUCACUUUUCUCUUCUUCUUUGAAGACCCUCUUCUUUUAUGGUAUAACUUUCAUUAGUUGUUCUUAAUAUGCUUCUUUUAACUUUAACUGUCAAAUAUAUAUAUACACAUACAACGAUAAUUUAUCCUUAAUAUCAGAUAUAAAGUUUUUUUUAUGCAUGGCUCUAAUCCAAAAGACUUCAAAAAAAAAAUUACCAAAAUGUAAAUCGAUGAUGAGAAAUUAAAAAAUUGAUAUGGCUAAUGUUUAAUAAGCUAGAUUGAUUGAUAAGUUACUCAUCCCACAAUUACUUGAUUUUGAGAUGAAACGUCAAGUUAUCUAAUAUUAUAUCGUAACUCGCGAAAACAUAAACGAACAUUCAGAUCAAAAAAAUAAAUAUUGGAGUCCAAUUCAAGAAUGAUGAACCCAAAGAGAGACAUCAUUUAUCAAUGGUGUGUAUACUAGCCAAGGAUCUUAUCAUGCUAGAAUAAUUGAGGGACCUUUUAUGUUUAUAUAUAAGAUGUAUAUGUUUCUUCUCUUAUAUUUUAUAUUGGUUUUAAGAUGUAAAGCUCAUGUUAUCUAAUAUAUGAUGUCGGUUGUUCGAAAAUUCGAUGUAAAAAUAGUAAAUAAUCGAAAGAAGCACGGAUCCCAAAAGGACAUAUCAAGGAAACCUCACACCAUGCAUCUUUAUAAGUCCCUCACACCAUGCAUUCAAAAACUAUAAUUGAGGGACCUCACACCAUGUCAUGCAUCUUUAUAACGUCAAUCAUACAUAUCUAUUAUUAAUUUCCUCUCAUAUGGCUCAUGAUAUACUACGUGUAACAAUUUUUCAUUGCCAAGAAAUUUCCAAAUUGUAAUAGUGGUAAGUUAUGAAAUGAUUUUCUUACAAAUAUCUUCAUAGAUAAAUUAAUAAUAAAACAUCAUGUGUGAACGGCAGAAUCCAAUUGACUGAAAAAUCAUUUUGGAGUAAUAUUAUCGGUUGUGAGCACAAUCCUUUGAUCUAUUUGGUGGGAAAGAAACAGUAGAACCUUUACUUGAGAAGCUAUAAUUCUUACAUUUUUAUUAAUUAUCAUAUUACUUCGUCUUUAUUUUAAAAAUAUUCAUACAAGACAUGAGAGAUUAGCAUAGGCAUUCAAAUAUCAAUACCUUUGAACAAAAAAGCUUUUCCUUGGCCCUAAAAAAGUUGUACAACAAUUAACAAAACACUCCAAUAUUAAGGUUAAUAGGAAGAAUGCCUAAACUUAACUAUAAAAAUUGUUUGGAACUACAAAACUAAGCAAACUAAGGUGGCUAAACUCAACAUGAAAAUAAAGAAGAGUAAUUUAAACUUAGAUAUUUAUUCAUGUCACCUAAACUUUUAAAGUCGUUUUUGAUUGCAUGCUCCUCUAAACUUUAUCAAAUCUUGCGAGAUCAUGUAAGGGGAAAGAUGGAAUCAACUUAGCCUUACUUUAAUUUAAUAUGUUUUAGUACCACAUGUCAACAUAAAAUAAAGAAAUUAGGUUAGAGAGAAGGUUGUGAUCUAAAUCUAAGUACAUUAAUUAAUGUCAAAUUUCAAUCCAUGUUUGAAUGAUAAACAAAUUUGGAGUAAAGAAUAUUACUCAACCAUACAUAAGUAAGACUUCAACUCUAAUUGAAAGGGGCUGACAAGUAUAGUUACUCCUAAACUGUCUACAAAUAUUAAAUAUUAUAUGAAGACAAUAAAGUUAAGGGGAGUUCGAGUCCCCUAGACCUAUACUAAAUCCGUCGGUCAUGGUGAUGGUGCACAACACUCAAUUGUUCAACACAACUAUGAUGAAUUUUUUUGUUUGUUGGGAGAGAAAACACUAAUAUGUUUUAUUUCAUUAAAAUGUGAUAUUUUUGUCCCAUGAUUAUUGUAUAGAGAAAUGGGAAAUUAUAUAUAUAGUGUAAGCUUCAAGUGGGAAUUAGGAAACACAUGCAUAAAUAUAAAGUUACGAUAAUUAUAGUAAUGCAAUGUCGUUUCAGAAGCCCAUUAUUCAUCCUCUCAAUUAUCUCAUGCAUGGUGGCUCUCAUCAAGUUGAGAAAAAGGAAAAAAAAUAGGCCUAAUAAAAUAUAUGUUCUUUGUUUCUUGGUAACCAUUGUAAAUUAAUCGUAAUAUAAAUAUCUUCUAAAAGAGAAAAAAAGAAGACUCUCAAGACAAAUUAUCAUGCUUCGUCAAUCCUCUUUUUUUUUUUUUUUUUUUUCCUCAAUCUUUAAUGAUAGAAGAAAAUUUUAGCUCAAUAAAAUUGAAAUUUUUGUAUUUUAAAAAAUUUAUGAUGUUUUUUAACACGUGUAUAUAUAUAUAAUGAACAAUAUAACAAAAUAUCACAUUAAGUUUUACUAUAUAUUUAUAAAUAUUUUUUUAAUUAAUUUUUUCACUUAAUUUAAAAAUAUUUUUUCUAUAUAAAUAUUAUUAAUAAAGAACAAUUACAUUAGCUUCUCUUUUUACGUAUAACUCUUACUUUGGAUUGAACUUUUAACUCUUGAAAAGAGCAUUAGUGAGCCAAUUAAUUCACUUUGACUACAUAACUUUCUUUAGUUGCUUAAUAUAUUUGUUUUGGUGUUAAACUAUCAUUAUAACAGAACAAUUAGGAUAGUUUUCAUUUUCGUGUAUAACGUUUUUCUAUGGUCGAUAUCUAAGGAAAUAAUCAAAAAAACAAAUGUACUUACAAUAAAUUUCAUUGUGUCAUAAAAUGAAAUUUCCAAAUUAUGUAAGUGUUAAGUUGUAAAAGUUGAUAAUCAAAUUUCAAUGUGAAAUUAUAUAUUUUGGAAAUAUCUGCACCAUAGACAAAAAUUAAUAAACAAACUUCUCAAAAUUAAGUGUGUUAAUUAUAAGAGAAUGCCUAAACUUAACUAUAAAAAAAUAAGUUGGAGCCAAAACUAAUUAGCUAAAAUAUUAAGGUGAAUUUAUCACAAAAAGUACAAACAAGUGAAGUAAGGUGGUGUUGCAUAAAGCCUACUGAUUUUCAACUUUGGCUUUCUAAAUUUGAGCUCCUCACGUUUUCACACAAAAGCUUCUCACAACCUUUGAAUAAGAUCCUCUCAAAAGAACAUCAACUACUGAUGUAUUAAACUAAUAAAGAGCCAGCCUAGUUUACUUGACUACUAGUAACAUCCUCAACAGUGACGUACAUUUAAUUUCACAAACAGUGCGUAAGGAUUAAGGUUAAACAAUCUCUCAAAACAUGCACACACAGUAUUUUUAACAGAGCUAAUUAACCCUAAAAAUAAACAAAACUCAUAAUAUAUAUGGAAGCUGAUCUUGAGCAGAUAGGAAAAAAGAUUAUCAAAAAGAAUAGAAAAACAAAUUAAAUCAGCAGGUUUAAUUUUCCCUACACGGUUCAAUAGAUUAAGAAAAAAAUCUUGAUACAAAAUUCGAAGGAGAAAUAUAGAUUUUGACAGAAAAUGUUACAAAACAAGUUGCUCAAGUUUUGCUUGUAACAAAAUCCGCCAAUCGUAGUACAGUAACACAUAAGCAACUAAAAUGACUGAUCUCAACAAGAAUGGAAACACUAGAUAUGUUACAAGAGAACAUGCAUAAAUACAGUUUGGUCUAAUUAAAAAAACAGUGUCUUAGAUAACACAAGAAGGUAGAAAAAUAGAUGAGAGAGUAAUCAAACUUAGCUGACAAAUAUGGAUAUUAAUGAAUUUCACCUGAACUUUAUAUAGUUUUUCUUUACUCUUCUCUAAAUCUUACCAAAUAUUGCAAGAUCGUGUAAGUGGACAAUGGAAUAAUCGUAAUAAUCAAUUGAAGCCUUACAUAAAAUAUCGAUGUGUUUUAGUACCAAAAUCGAACUUUAGUUAGUACCUAAUAUGACAAAAGGCCUCACUACGUAGUAUUUUGCCUCAUGGACAUCCAUGGAGAAGUUGAUGAACCCACCACUUUUUUUAAACAUAUGACACCCUCUUUACCGUGAAGGACACCAUAGAGAAGUUGAAGAGACCCUCCACCCAUUUCCUAUAUAAAGAGAUCAAUGCAUGCAUUUUCUUGGCAUUCUACUCAUUCUCUAAUUCUCUCCAUGGCUAUCCUUAGAGCACUGUGCCUUGCCUUUCUUCUCUUUGUACGGUUAGGUUUAGCUUCGGCUACUAGAACUCUUCUUGAUUAUGAUCCACGUACACUUCAAUAUGGCUAUGAUCGUCCUAGUCCAAGAGUAGGGUAUGAUCCUGGCCAUGGGGAUGAAUCCUAUGAUAAGGCAUACGGUGGAAGCUCUAGUAGAGGACAUGGAAUUGGAGACUCUGCUCUUGGAGGUUCUGGAUACGAAGGUGGUGGAAGACACGAUUAUGGAUAUGGAGAUCGACAUAAUGAUCGUGGGGUUGGAUAUGGUAAUUAUGGUGGUGGAUAUGGAGGUGUAGGAGGACAUGGUGAUGGUUAUGGUAACAAUGGUGGUGGAAGCUAUGGAGAUCGUUAUGGACCUUCUCUUGGAGGUUCAGGAUAUGGAAGUGGAGGAAAAGGAAGUGGCAAUGGCUAUGACGAUCAUUCUCGUGGAAAU
rnacentral:lncRNA from 1 species